UUCUUUAUAGCUUGCUAUAAAGAAUAGUUAGUGGCAGACGGGUGAGUAAUGCAUAGGAAUCUACCUAGUAGUAUGGGAUAGCCACUAGAAAUGGGUGGGUAAUACUGUAUAAUCCCUGCGGGGGAAAGAUUUAUCGCUAUUAGAUGAGCCUAUGUUAGAUUAGCUAGUUGGUAGGGUAAAGGCCUACCAAGGCGAUGAUCUAUAGCUGGUCUGAAGAGGAUGAUCAGCCACACUGGAACUGAGAUACGGUCCAGACUCCUACGGGAGGCAGCAGUGGGGAAUAUUGGACAAUGGGCGCAAGCCUGAUCCAGCUAUGCCGCGUGAGUGAGGAAGGCCUUAGGGUUGUAAAACUCUUUCAGUAGGGAAGAUAAUGACGGUACCUACAGAAGAAGUCCCGGCAAACUCCGUGCCAGCAGCCGCGGUAAUACGGAGGGGGCAAGCGUUGUUCGGAAUUAUUGGGCGUAAAGGGCAUGUAGGCGG
rnacentral:rRNA from 1 species